rnacentral:lncRNA from 1 species
CCGCCACCUGGAGGGCAGCCAGCCAUCUAUUAAGAUGGAGCCACGCUGGGACCCAUCCUUCUGCCACAUCUGCUCUAGUCUGUCUCUUCUCAUCUUUGACAUUGUCUGAAAAUGCCACUGCAGACAGAAACGGGUUUUCUUCACUUUGAUGUGACCCAGGGCUCCAGCCAAAACCAAGAGUGUCAUGUCACAGAGAAGCUAUAAAAACUGACCUGACCAUACAAGUUCAAAAACCUUUCUUCUGGCUAUUAGUCAGAGAGGCAGCUUCCCCACAUACGUCCCGCCAGGAGGGGAAAACUCCGGCGCAGGGGAGACCGACAGGAAGCACCUGGGGAGAAGCGACUUCCAGACUGUUACAAACUGAGCGUCAUUCCGUCAACCUAAGAAACUAGGCUGCUUGUUCUCGUCACUGCCACCAGGGGGAGCCAAACCACACAGGCCGGCGGGAGACAGGGAAACAGCUGGGCGUGCCCUCCAUCCAACAGCCUCAUGGAGCCAGGAGAGACGUCAGACACUUCCACGCGCCCAUCAGACUAGAGAGACUGGGCACCCUUGGAAAACUCGCACUUUUUAAGGAACUUUCCAGAAGCAGGCAGGAGUCAAAAGGAAAGUGUUGGCUUGCGUUGUGGGGAGGAGACGUCUGUUGGAUUGAUCAGAAUUAAGUGACUAACUCUUGGCCACUCUACAUCCCGGCGAAACGGACGACUGAAACAUCGCUGCUCACUGUGCCUGAGAGUGUGUUCCUUCCUCACUGGGGGGCACUCGUCUGCUUUAACCUUGGCCACUAACCUGUAUUGCCUUAGCUGUUCCCACUACCUGGAAUGUUCUUUCUUCUGAUCUCCCCAUGGCUGGCUCCUGCUCGUCCAUGAGAUCUCCCUGGAGAGUGUAGCAGGGAUGGCUACCUUCUCUGCAGAAGUCCACGCUCCCCUUCCAGAUGGUGGGGUUGGCUUUCUAUCCCUGCCUGACUCCCAGUGUGGCCGUGUGGGCCCAGGAUGGCCAAAUUCUUGCUAAAAGAACAGGAGUGGAAGUGAUGUGUUUCACAGCCAGGCCGAGACUUUAAAGGAACAGGUGUGACUUUUCCACUCUUUUUCCUCUUGCUCUAGCCAAAAGCAGAGGACUCUGAGGCCUCAGAGGAUGACGGAGUCUGAAGAUGGAAAGAGCCUGUGUCCCCAAAUCACUACAUGGAGGAAAGCCAAGUGUUACCCAACUAGAAACCCCAUACUGGACUGUUCCAUGAGUGAGAAAUAAACCUCCAUUCGAG